rnacentral:rRNA from 1 species
UACGAAUGGAGCAAGCGUUGUUCGGAAUCACUGGGCUUAAAGCGUAUGUAGGCGGAACAGUAAGUCAGAAGUGAAAGCCUGGGGCUCAACCCCAGAACUGCUUUUGAAACUACUGUUCUAGAAUCCUGGAGAGGUUGGGAGAAUUCCGAGUGUAGAGGUGAAAUUCGCAGAUAUUCGGAGGAAUACCAGUGGCGUAGGCGCCCAACUGGACAGGUAUUGACGCUCAGAUACGAAAGCGUGGGGAGCAAACAGG